UAGGGAAUAUUCCACAAUGAGCGAAAGCUUGAUGGAGCGACACAGCGUGCACGAUGAAGGUCUUAUGGAUUGUAAAGUGCUGUUGCAAGGGAAGAAAAAGUAGUUGAGGAAAUGCUUCUACAUUGACGGUACCUUGUUAGAAAGCGAUGGCUAACUAUGUGCCAGCAGCCGCGGUAAUACAUAGGUCGCAAGCGUUAUCCGGAAUUAUUGGGCGUAAAGCGUUCGUAGGCUGUUUAUUAAGUCUGGAGUCAAAUCCCAGGGCUCAACCCUGGCUCGCUUUGGAUACUGGUAAACUAGAGUUGGAUAGAGGUAAGCGGAAUUCCAUGUGAAGCGGUGAAAUGCGUAGAUAUAUGGAAGAACACCAAAGGCGAAGGCAGCUUACUGGGUUUAUACUGACGCUGAGGAACGAAAGCGUGGGGAGCAAACAGGAUUAGAUACCCUGGUAGUCCACGCCGUAAACGAUGAUCAUUAGUCGGCAGAGAACUGUUGACGCAGCUAACGCAUUAAAUGAUCCGCCUGAGUAGUAUAGNNUGCGCAAGAGUA
rnacentral:rRNA from 1 species